rnacentral:tRNA from 1 species
UCCCUGGUGGCUCAGCGGUAAAGAAUCAGCCUGCAAUUCAGGAGAUCCAGGUUCGAUCCCUGGCUCAGGAA